rnacentral:lncRNA from 1 species
CAUUUACCUUUUCUUACAAACCAUUGGAGUUAUUUUUGUCAACUUUUUGUUUGUUUCAGAUGAAAGAGCGAACAGGCCCUCUGUUACUGCAUUCUAGCCGGAAGCUGCUUGGCUGAGGCAAUUUGAUUCAGCCACAGAGACCUUCGACUGACUCAACAACUGUCGUUUGACCCAGAUAUCUUUGUAUGAUGUGUCUUUACAAAGGCCAUAGCAAAUAUUUCAACCAACUUCCUCAAGAUAUAAGCGGAAAUGUAGCACAGGAUUAAAAUACCAGGUGUGAAAUAUGGAAAUCGGAAAAACACAACAGUGUGGUGGAAGGAGCACUAUAUCAGAGCAAAUAGUGACAUUUUCUGCUGCUGCUGCUUCUACUUCCGUCUACAUAUUCCAGGAUCUCUUCAAUCUCCUUAACUUUCUCUAG